CUACGGGGGGCAGCAGCUAAGAAUCUUCCGCAAUGGGCGCAAGCCUGACGGAGCGACGCCGCGUGAACGAAGAAGGCCGUGAGGUUGUAAAGUUCUUUUCUUGGGGAGGAAUAAGCCCUGCAGGGAAUGGCAGGGUGAUGACGUGAACCGAGGAAUAAGCCCCGGCUAAUUACGUGCCAGCAGCCGCGGUAACACGUAAGGGGCGAGCGUUGUUCGGAAUUAUUGGGCGUAAAGGGCGCGUAGGCGGGAAUGCAAGCCUGAUGUGAAAUACCCCGGCUCAACUGGGGGGGCGCGUUGGGAACUGGAGUUCUUGAGUAUAAGAGGGGAUGUUGGAAUUCCAGGUGUAGGGGUGAAAUCUGUAGAUAUCUGGAAGAACACCGGUGGCGAAGGCGAACAUCUGGCUAUAUACUGACGCUGAGGCGCGAAAGCGUGGGGAGCGAACAGGAUUAGAUACCCCAGUAGUC
rnacentral:rRNA from 1 species